UACGUAGGGAGCAAGCGUUGUCCGGAAUCAUUGGGCGUAAAGCGCGCGUAGGCGGCCUCAUAAGUCCGUUGUGAAAGUCAAAGGCUCAACCUUUGAAAGCCGAUGGAUACUGUGAGGCUAGAGUCCGGAAGAGGCGAGUGGAAUUCCUGGUGUAGCGGUGGAAUGCGCAGAUAUCAGGAGGAACACCAAUAGCGAAGGCAGCUCGCUGGGACGGUACUGACGCUAAGGCGCGAAAGCGUGAGGAGCGAACAGG
rnacentral:rRNA from 1 species